rnacentral:rRNA from 1 species
UGGGGAAUUUUGGACAAUGGGCGAAAGCCUGAUCCAGCAAUGCCGCGUGUGUGAAGAGGGCCUUCGGGUUGUAAAGCACUUUUGUCCGGAAAGAAAUCCUUGGCUCUAAUACAGUCGGGGGAUGACGGUACCGGAAGAAUAAGCACCGGCUAACUACGUGCCAGCAGCCGCGGUAAUACGUAGGGUGCAAGCGUUAAUCGGAAUUACUGGGCGUAAAGCGUGCGCAGGCGGUUUGCUAAGACCGAUGUGAAAUCCCCGGGCUCAACCUGGGAACUGCAUUGGUGACUGGCAGGCUAGAGUAUGGCAGAGGGGGGUAGAAUUCCACGUGUAGCGGUGAAAUGCGUAGAGAUCUGGAGGAAUACCGGUGGCGAAGGCGGCCCCCUGGACGAAGACUGACGCUCAGGUGCGAAAGCGUGGGGAGCAAACAGGAUUAGAUACCCUGGUAGUCCACGCCCUAAACGAUGUCAACUAGUUGUUGGGGAUUCAUUUCCUUAGUAACGUAGCUAACGCGUGAAGUUGACCGCCUGGGGAGUACGGUCGCAAGAUUAAAACUUAAAGGAAUUGAC